rnacentral:rRNA from 1 species
UACAGAGGGGGCAAGCGUUGUUCGGAAUUACUGGGCGUAAAGGGCGCGUAGGCGGCCUGUUAAGUCGAACGUGAAAUCCCCGGGCUCAACCCGGGAACUGCGUCCGAUACUGGCAGGCUUGAAUCCGGGAGAGGGAUGUGGAAUUCCAGGUGUAGCGGUGAAAUGCGUAGAUAUCUGGAGGAACACGAUGGCGAACGGCGGCUCACUGGACCGGUUCUGACGCUGAGGCGCGAAAGCGUGGGGAGCAAACAGG